UUGCUAAUACCCUAUAUGCCUUUAAGUCUUAAGACUGCAAGGGAAAUAUUUAUAGCUUGAAGAUCGGCCUGUACAGUAUCAGUUAGUUGGUGAGGCAAUGGCUCACCAAGACAAUGACGCUUAACUGGUUUGAGAGGAUGAUCAGUCACACUGGAACUGAGACACGGUCCAGACUCCUACGGGAGGCAGCAGUGGGGAAUAUUGCACAAUGGACGAAAGUCUGAUGCAGCAACGCCGCGUGGAGGAUGACACAUUUCGGUGCGUAAACUCCUUUUAUAUAGGAAGAUAAUGACGGUACUAUAUGAAUAAGCGCC
rnacentral:rRNA from 1 species